rnacentral:rRNA from 1 species
CAAUAGCGUAUAUUAAAGUUGUUGCAGUUAAAAAGCUCGUAGUUGAACCUUGGGCUUGGCUGGCCGGUCCAUCUUUUUUGAUGCGUACUGGACCCAGCCGAGCCUUUCCUUCUGGCUAGCCUUUUGGCGAACCAGGACUUUUACUUUGAAAAAAUUAGAGUGUUCAAAGCAGGCCUUUGCUCGAAUAUAUUAGCAUGGAAUAAUAGAAUAGGACGUUAUGGUUCUAUUUUGUUGGUUUCUAGGACCAUCGUAAUGAUUAAUAGGGACGGUCGGGGGUAUCAGUAUUCAGUUGUCAGAGGUGAAAUUCUUGGAUUUACUGAAGGCUAACUACUGCGAAAGCAUUUACCAAGGACGUUUUCAUUAA